UACGAAGGGUGCAAACGUUGCUCGGAAUUAUUGGGCGUAAAGAGCUCGUAGGCGGUCUGUCGCGUCUGCUGUGAAAUCCCGAGGCUCAACCUCGGGCUUGCAGUGGGUACGGGCAGGCUAGAGUGCGGUAGGGGAGAAUGGAACUCCUGGUGUAGCGGUGGAAUGCGCAGAUAUCAGGAAGAACACCGAUGGCGAAGGCAGUUCUCUGGGCCGUAACUGACGCUGAGGAGCGAAAGCGUGGGGAGCGAACAGG
rnacentral:rRNA from 1 species